CCUACGGUGGGCUGCAGUGGGGAAUAUUGGACAAUGGGCGAAAGCCUGAUCCAGCCAUGCCGCGUGUGUGAAGAAGGCCUUCGGGUUGUAAAGCACUUUCAGUGGGGAAGACAGCCUUGGGGCUAAUACCCUCGAGGAAGGACAUCACCCACAGAAGAAGCACCGGCUAACUCCGUGCCAGCAGCCGCGGUAAUACGGAGGGUGCGAGCGUUAAUCGGAAUUACUGGGCGUAAAGCGCGCGUAGGCGGUCUGAUAAGCCGGUUGUGAAAGCCCCGGGCUCAACCUGGGAACGGCAUCCGGAACUGUCAGGCUAGAGUGCAGGAGAGGAAGGUAGAAUUCCCGGUGUAGCGGUGAAAUGCGUAGAGAUCGGGAGGAAUACCAGUGGCGAAGGCGGCCUUCUGGACUGACACUGACGCUGAGGUGCGAAAGCGUGGGUAGCAAACAGGAUUAGAUACCCUUGUAGUC
rnacentral:rRNA from 1 species